rnacentral:rRNA from 1 species
CCUACGGGAGGCAGCAGUGAGGAAUAUUGGUCAAUGGACGAGAGUCUGAACCAGCCAAGUAGCGUGAAGGAUGACGGCCCUAUGGGUUGUAAACUUCUUUUAUAUGGGAAUAAAAUGGUCCACGUGAGGGAUUGUGUAUGGACCAGAGGAAUAAGGAUCGGCUAACUCCGUGCCAGCAGCCGCGGUAAUACGGAGGAUCCGAGCGUUAUCCGGAUUUAUUGGGGUGAAAGGGAGCGUAGGUGGAUUGUUCAGUCCGUUGUGAAAGUUUGCGGCUCAACCGUAAAAUUGCAGUUGAAACUGGCAUUCUUGAGUGCAGUAGAGGUGUGCGGAAUUCGUGUUGUAGCGGU